UAAUGGGAUUUGCAGUUAGAUCUUUUUUGUUUUCACCAUACCUUUUCUGGUGAGCCUUAGGACACAAUCCUAUCCAGCCCCAUGGCCUUGAUGCAUGGGAGCCUCUGAACCUGGAAUAAGGUACAGCAACAGUGAUCUCCAAAGUGGUGGUACUUUCUAAUAAGCAUUUUGUUUAGAUGGCUGUUUUCAGUGGUCUAGAUUUAGCACUGGGGAAGGGAAGGAGACUGGGACACUGAUUAGAAUCAGCAUAAAUCCAAGUAUGCACCACUGGCCUCCUCCCUACUCUGAGGCCUAAUUGUAACCUGCAAGGUGUGGGGAAGCAGCCUGGGUGGUUCUUUCCAUGUGGGUGCAAGGUGGGUAGAGCAGGGGCUUGGCCCUCAACGUCCUUCUCCAAGUUUGCAGGAAUUCAGGGCUUUGAAUCCUGUGGCCUCCCAAAUGCUAUCCCAACAUCCUAGACAGCAUAAGGAAAAGUGUGGUGCUCAUUUUUCUUUCAGACAAUUUCAAUACAGAUUCCUGCCUUCUGCGAAGUCAAAACUACUUAUAUAUAGUAUUGAAUUGGAACAUAAAGCUGUGCCUUGCCAAGUAUGCAUAUACAGAACUUACGUCAUCUACAAGUACCUGAAAGGCUGUCACAAAGAGGAAGGACAAGAUCUCAGUCAUCUUAAAGAGAGAACAUGGAAUAAUGAACACAAGUUGCAGUAAACUAGCUAUCAGGAAAGAUUUCAAGCUAGAUACCAGGAAAAGUAUCCUAACUCAGAUCCAUAUGACAGUGGAACAAGUUGCCUAGAGAGGUCAUGGGCUGUCUCAACCCAAAGACAUUCAAGAUGAAACUGGACAGUCAUCUGAGUGGGAAGGUAUAAAUUGGUGUCCUGCAACAGCAGGGGAUUGGACCUGAUCACCUUGGCCCCUUUCAACUCUACUAUGAUUCUUUAUACAUUAUUGCCAAACCAGUGCCAAAUCCCAUUGGUCUGGAAGAUGUAUGUUUGUACUGAGGAAGUUUCCUGAAAAAAGAACCAUAUGGGUCAUGGACAGUGUCUAGAGAGUUAUAAGCUCAUUAAUAUUUCCAGCUCCAAGGCUAGAAAACAGCAACAUCUUCAGAGCUGGGGAUCUGCUCUCAAUGUCCUCCCCUUUCCUAGAAGCUGGCAUGGAAAAGACCACACUAGUUGCCUCUUGAGAUCAUAAAAGUGAGCUUGGAGAAAGAGUGCAAAGGACAUUCCAGGAUGGUAGGGAGGGAAGGAAGCUGGUGCCACCAAGUUAUGACAUCUUAAUGGUGCCUCAGCCUUCUUCCUUCCUCCUCUGAACUGCUGCAGAUUUAUAUAUUUAUUUAUGACGCUUGUAUGCUGCCCAAGGGCUCUCUGAGCAGCUCACAAACAACAAUGGCAUAGAGAAUAAAACAACAAAUUUAAAACUAAUACCCCAUCAUAAAACUAAAAGUUUGCAUGGGAACAAGAGACAAUCCACAUGAUAACAAAGCAAGCAGUAAAAAGACAUCAUAAAACCAUAAAUUAUGCUAAAAUAGGUAUGAAGUAAAAAUAUCACCUGGUGACAAAAACUGAGUAAUGAGGGUGCAGGUUGAGCCUCUUUAGGAAGGGCAUUCCAAGGAUAAGACACAGUAACAGAAAAAGCCCUUUUCCUUCAUUUGGGGUAGGGGAGCCCACAUAGAAGGGCAUCCAGAGAAGAUCUUAAGGGUCCAGUAAAGAUACAUGGAGACUGGUGUUCCUUCAGAUAUCCUAGCCCCGUGCCAUUUAGGGCUUCAUAUGUUAAUGCAAGCAAUUGGAAUUGGGCCUGGGCACAGGCAGCCAAUGCAGCUGACAGAGGACUAGCUUGAUGUGUUCUCUAGGACAAGUUCUCAUUAACAGCCACACUGCUCUGUUUUAAUUAGUUGAAGUGUCCAGUUCGUUUUCAAAGGCAGCCCCACAUAGAGUGCAUUAAAGUAAUCCAGGCAAGAGGUUACAAAUGCAUGGAUGACUGUGGCUAUGCUCCAUUCAUCUAAGUAGGAAUGUAGCUGAUAAAUCAACCUGAGCUGAUGAACUGUACUCCUGGCCACCAAGGUCACCUGAAUUCAAAAAUUCAAAAAAAGUAAUAAUUCAAAACCUGAGUGACAAUUCAGGGUCAAGGAGCACCCCCAAUCUAUGAACCUUGCCCUUUAGAGGGAGCACAAUCCAUCCAGGAGAGGUUGAAAAUUUAUGAUUUUUUUAUACUGUUGUAUUUAUUGAAUUUAUUUGUAAGCUGUCCAGAGACGCAUAGUGAUUGGAUAGGUUAGAAAUAUCCCAAUAAAUAAAUAAGCUUUCCCAGUUGGACAGACAGCCUACUCACCAACAGCAUCUGCAUCUUGUCUGGACUGAGUUUCAGUGUAAUAGUCUCAUCCAAUCCAUUACCAAGCCAAGGCACCAUUUUAGAUCAGUCACUGCCUCACCUGAAUUAGAUGAGAACAAGAAGUAGAGCUGAGUGUCCUCUGCAUAUUGGUGACUCUUCAGCCCAAACCUCUGGAUGACCUCAGCUAGUGGUUUCAUGUAGAUAUUAAACAGCAUGAGAGACAGAGCCCUGUGGAGUUCCAUGGCUCAAGUGGCAUAGCAUAAAGCUACAGUUUCCAGGUCUACCACCUGGAGACAGUUGUCCAGAUAGGAGCAGAGCCAUCACAGAGCAGUGUCCCCAGUUCUUAAACCAGCCAGCCUCUCAGAAGGAUACCAUGGUCAAUGGUAUUGAAAAGUGCUGAGAGGUUCAGGACAAUCAACGGGGUCCUGCUUCUCCUGUCUCCUCACAAAGCUCAUCCCACAGGGAAUUCCUUUACCAAAGCUGGGCCUAAAGCCCAACUGAAAUAGAUCUAGAUAAUUUGUUUCUUCUAAGAGUGCUUGGAGUUGCCUGGCCACAACUCAUUUGAGCACCUUGCUAGGAAGGGAACAUUCAUUGGCUAUAAGUUGAUAAUUAUUUAUAUCCCCAGGAUCCAGGAGUUGCUUUUUAAGAAGUGGUAUAACCACCACCAUUUAGAUGGCUGAAAUACAGUAAUAUUUUUGUAAGUAGUUGACUUUUUUUCAUUAGGACUUGAUUGAGGUGCAGUUUUUAGAUUACACCCUAUCCUAUCCCACCUCACCCCCAUGAGAUUAAUGUGUAUUUUAAAUAUAGCUAAUCAGUCCAGCCACUUUUGGAGACCCUUCUGCUUAUUCUGUUUUUAAUUUCUCCCCUGCAGGGUCUGUUCUAUUUCAUUCUAGCUGCAUAUGUUGGAAGCUGUAUUUCAAUACACCUGAAGGCAUCAGAUUGGGGAACAAUUAUAUGAUUCCCAUACAAAUUAUAACUUCUUCUAACACAAUAGCUAAACAAAAUUGGCAUUUAAGAUGGAAGGAGAACAGGCAGUACUUUCUGAAACUCGGAGGAAUCUUUACUGAGACUUUCUGUAAAAUCUGAAGCUAAAAAUAGCUCAUCUUUUAAAAGCCCUAGAACUAAUGAGUCUGAAAGCCUGACAGUGGGCCCUAAAGUGCAGCCAUAUGACAAAGGCAACAAAGGUGGUUAAGCUGCCAUUGGUCCAGCUUCCAAAGUAAGGGAACUGAGGCAAGAAUGGUAAGCCCCUGUCUGACCCUUGGAAAAGUAAAUAAAUGAGGUCUUUCAACAGGGCUAUUGGACAGUUUAAACAUGUGAUAAAUAAAUAAAAUUGCCAAAAAAAAAAAAAAAGCAAAAACACAAACCCGCAGCUAUGGAUUUUGGUCUAGCAGAGGAAUGAAAAAGAAAGCUACUAUGGUCUAAUUCAGAAUUGUAGGAAAAGUUGGAGGACCUUGAAAAUUAUUACAGAUACCUAAAUCUGAGAUUUUGAUGACUCCAGGAACACGUGAAAAUGAUUGGAUUUUGACAUCUUUUCCCCCAAAGAAAUAUAGAGGGCUAUUUCAUGGACUCACAGUGCUCUACAAGCUAAACCUGCAGUAGGAGCGUAUCCAUGGGGUACCAUUGUAUGCUUCAUUAAAAAGGCAGAAAAAUAAGCCAUUUUGGCAGGAUCCAGAUUGGAUAUCCAAUGUCAGUAUGAAAACAGCCCCAUGCAACUAUUUGAGGACUUUAUUUAUUUAGUGGAUUUAUAUGCCGCUAUAAUAGCCCAUAUCAAUUUGAGCCCUGACACUCUUCAGAGACAAUAGGAGCUUAAAAACUGUGCUGAAAAGCUUAGAUUUCUAAACAUAUACUACAGAUGGGGACACCCAGCUAAAGUAAUAAUUAAAAUGGAUGUCACUACCACAGUUAUUCCAUCGCAUCAGGAGGCCAGACAAUUCCAUAUGCACAUGAAUCUAAGUCCUGGAGAAAAUCUAGUGCAGAAAUAGGGAAAGAGCGCAAUUAAUAAGAAACCAGCAACAAAGAACUUGAUUGGCAAUCUCAGUGAAAACACAGUCAACAAUUAAUCCUAACCAGUCCUGUGAAUUCUAUCAAGGGCACAGUUAAAAUGUAUUCUAGGGAUUUUCAAGUCUCAAGUACUUAACAGUUGUGCUAUACAUUGUGUUUCACCUUGAAUACAUUAAUAUUUACAUGGGUGUCAGGAGAGGAUAUUUUGCCUCCUAAUGUUCUUGGUUUCACUUUACCCUUCUCUAGGGUCACAGAAUUGGAGUUGGGCAUUCAUCCUAAGAUGAUGACUGGUUUAGCUAUAUUCAUUUUAUUGGUCUAGUAUAGAGCAGAAUGUUAUAGUUCUCUCUUGUCAGUCUCAAUACACCAAGCAAGACUUAGAUGUAGCCAUCUUAAACAUUUCAAAAACA